rnacentral:rRNA from 1 species
AUAACCUCCGGAAACGGAAGCUAAUACCGGAUACGACGUACGGAGGCAUCUCCUGUACGUGGAAAGAACUUCGGUCAAGGAUGGACUCGCGGCCUAUCAGGUAGUUGGUGAGGUAACGGCCCACCAAGCCUACGACGGGUAGCCGGCCUGAGAGGGUGACCGGCCACACUGGGACUGAGACACGGCCCAGACUCCUACGGGAGGCAGCAGUGGGGAAUAUUGCACAAUGGGCGCAAGCCUGAUGCAGCAACGCCGCGUGAGGGAUGACGGCCUUCGGGUUGUAAACCUCUUUUAGUAGGGAAGAAGCGAAAGUGACGGUACCUGCAGAAAAAGCACCGGCUAACUACGUGCCAGCAGCCGCGGUAAUACGUAGGGUGCGAGCGUUGUCCGGAAUUAUUGGGCGUAAAGAGCUCGUAGGCGGUCUGUCGCGUCUGCUGUGAAAACCCGAGGCUCAACCUCGGGCCUGCAGUGGGUACGGGCAGACUAGAGUGCGGUAGGGGAGAAUGGAAUUCCUGGUGUAGCGGUGGAAUGCGCAGAUAUCAGGAGGAACACCGAUGGCGAAGGCAGUUCUCUGGGCCGUAACUGACGCUGAGGAGCGAAAGCGUGGGGAGCGAACAGGAUUAGAUACCCUGGUAGUCCACGCCGUAAACGUUGGGCGCUAGAUGUGGGGACCAUUCCACGGUUUCCGUGUCGCAGCUAACGCAUUAAGCGCCCCGCCUGGGGAGUACGGCCGCAAGGCUAAAACUCAAAGGAAUUGACGGGGGGCCCGCACAAGCGGCGGAGCAUGCGGAUUAAUUCGAUGCAACGCGAAGAACCUUACCAAGGCUUGACAUACACGAGAACGCCCUAGAAAUAGGGAACUCUUUGGACACUCGUGAACAGGUGGUGCAUGGUUGUCGUCAGCUCGUGUCGUGAGAUGUUGGGUUAAGUCCCGCAACGAGCGCAACCCUCGUUCUAUGUUGCCAGCGCGUAAUGGCGGGAACUCAUAGGAGACUGCCGGGGUCAACUCGGAGGAAGGUGGGGAUGACGUCAAAUCAUCAUGCCCCUUAUGUCUUGGGCUUCACGCAUGCUACAAUGGCCGGUACAAAGGGCUGCAAUACCGUAAGGUGGAGCGAAUCCCAAAAAGCCGGUCUCAGUUCGGAUUGAGGUCUGCAACUCGACCUCAUGAAGUCGGAGUCGCUAGUAAUCGCAGAUCAGCAACGCUGCGGUGAAUACGUUCCCGGGCCUUGUACACACCGCCCGUCAAGUCAUGAAAGUCGGUAACACCCGAAGCCGGUGGCCCAACCCUU